rnacentral:rRNA from 1 species
GUAUGGUAUUGGCUUACCGUGGCAGUGACGGUUAACGGGGGAUUAGGGUUCGAUUCCGGAGAGGGAGCCUGAGAAACGGCUACCACAUCUAAGGAAGGCAGCAGGCGCGCAAAUUACCCAAUUCUAACAGUUUGAGAGAGGUAGUAACAAGAAAUAACAAUACAAGGCAAUUAAAAUGCUUUGUAAUUGGAAUGAUAGAAAUUUAAACCCUUUUUAAAGUAUCAAUUGGAGGGCAAGUCUGGUGCCAGCAGCCGCGGUAAUUCCAGCUCCAAUAGCGUAUAUUAAAAUUGUUGCAGUUAAAAAGCUCGUAGUUGAAGUUCUGCUAAAAGUAACCGGUCUGCUUUUAAUAAAAGUGGUAUCUUGGUGUGUAUUUAGCAAUGAUGUCCUUUGAAGUGUUUUUUACUUUAUUGUAAUAAAGCAUAUUCAGGACUUUUACUUUGAGAAAAUUAGAGUGUUUCU